AUUGAACGCUGGCGGCAGGCCUAACACAUGCAAGUCGAGCGGAUGAAGGGAGCUUGCUCCUGGAUUCAGCGGCGGACGGGUGAGUAAUGCCUAGGAAUCUGCCUGGUAGUGGGGGAUAACGUCCGGAAACGGGCGCUAAUACCGCAUACGUCCUGAGGGAGAAAGUGGGGGAUCUUCGGACCUCACGCUAUCAGAUGAGCCUAGGUCGGAUUAGCUAGUUGGUGGGGUAAAGGCCUACCGAGGCGACGAUCCGUAACUGGUCUGAGAGGAUGAUCAGUCACACUGGAACUGAGACACGGUCCAGACUCCUACGGGAGGCAGCAGUGGGGAAUAUUGGACAAUGGGCGAAAGCCUGGUCCAGCCAUGCCGCGUGUGUGAAGAAGGUCUUCGGAUUGUAAAGCACUUUAAGUUGGGAGGAAGGGCAGUAAGUUAAUACCUUGCUGUUUUGACGUUACCAACAGAAUAAGCACCGGCUAACUUCGUG
rnacentral:rRNA from 1 species